UACGAAGGGGGCUAGCGUUGCUCGGAAUGACUGGGCGUAAAGGGCGCGUAGGCGGAUGGCAUAGUCAGAUGUGAAAUUCCCGGGCUUAACUGGGUGCUUGCUUUCGAUACGGGCAGACUGGAGGUAUGCAGGGGAGAACGGAAUUCCGUGGUGUAGCGGUGAAAUGCGCAGAUAUCAGGGAGGAACACCGGUGGCGAAGGCGGUUCUCUGGGCAUUACCUGACGCUGAGGAGCGAAAGCGUGGGGAGCGAACAGG
rnacentral:rRNA from 1 species